AAGUACACACAUACUCUGCGUUUCUCUGAUGCCCAGAACCUUGCUGUGUUGGAGCACCUAUACUUCCCUGGAUGAACGAGAAGAAAGGAAAUAUUAUUUCAGAGUUUGUAUCAACCACACAAGAGUGUUAAACAAAAUACUUCAGCAGUCUCUAAGAUCUAUGUUUUUGAGAUGAGCUGGUUUUCCUGUGAUAACCCAGAUGCAGAGAAUGUAUGCAUGUGUAAACAUGCACACGGACACAUGGAGAGUCACUUCUGGAUCCUAGGUCAAGCAAAGCCAAUGAGAAGGAGGAGCAGUUGCUUUUAGGGAUGGCGUUCCCUGAGGGAUAUGGACAGCACUGAAAUGACCUGACCAUUGCUGAUAACGUGCCUGCAGCUUGAGAACAUUUGUAAUGGCUUCAUCUGAAAAGCAGAGGGAAGGAGUCCCUGAUGAGCUCAGAUUUUUCUGACAAGUUCUGAGAAGCAUCUGAAGCUUUCCCGGACAUCUGAACUGCACGUAGGUCUGGUCUUGCUCUGGGAGUGUGUCAUUCACAUGGUAAAACUUCUACUCGGUGUUUAUGGGUUUGUUGGCCAGGCUGCUUGAUGUAUAUAGCUCCAGAGGACAAGGUACUGUGACAGCCACUGGAACUGAGUGAGGGGCCAAGGGUUUAUGGAAAUUCUGGUAGAAAUCUGUUCACUGUGUGUUCUCCUGCCUUG